AAAAAAAAAAAAAAACUCCUAGCCAAUGAUAUCAUGACUAUUUUACUUGAUAAACCUUCUUUCUUUUUUUUACCAUAUAUAGGUUUGACUAAUCCAAUUCAAAAUUAUGGCAGAUACCUUGAUUUAUCAAUUUAAUAUUUCAAAGGUUUUUCUAGGGUGACUCUGAACUCUGAAUUACUAUAAUCAAAAUCAUUUGUCAGUGUUUUACUCUUAACUUUUUUAUCUAUUUUUAUUUUUAGUCAUGAAUAAAUGACAAAGAUUAAAACAAUUGAAAAUAUGUGUUUAUAAUUCAUUUCAAAAUACCAUAGAAUUUUUCAAUAUUGAGUAAUCACUAUCCAAAACCAAAUGGGCACAAUUACCUUGAAUUAGUUGCCCUAUUUCUUUGCUUAGUCCCCCCAAAAAAGUGAUCUUAGUUUGGCACUUACUUUUUAAAUUCUUCCCUAGAAUCAGUAUGCAUUUUUGUAAUUCAAAAUUUCAUAUUUUAUGCACUUAAUUUUAAAAAAUUCGAUUCUCUAAAUAACAUAUGUAUUGUCAUCAGUUUUGUAUUUCAGUGUUAUUGUAUCACCAUAGCAAUUCGUUUGUAACAACAACAAUUCAUCUAAUAGGGAGAAAUGUGAUGAUAUAAUUGCAUGUAUUGAGGAUGUUUGAAAUUGGUUAUAUCUAAAUAUAGGGAGAAGGAUAUAAAAGUGUUACUCUUAUAAAAUAAAGUAAACAUUUUCACAUUUUUAAAUAAAAAUGCUAUAUUUUUAAAUUAUAAUAAAGUAAACAUUUUCACAUUUUUAAAUAAAAAUGCUAUAUUUUUAAAUUAUAAUCACGAAUAUAAAACGUGUCCUAAUUUAAUGAAAUUUGAAAAUUUUACUUUUUAAACCUUUUUUUAUUCAAUCUUUUUUGUAUUGAGAAUGUGACUUUUGUGUGGGUUUGUGUAGUUAUUAGUUGGUGUAGAAAUUAAUAGGUAAUUUUAAUUUUCAAUUUAACUUUGUGCCAUUGAUUUGUUUUAUUGUUAAAUAACUCUCAAUCAGGUUAAAGAAUUUUUUUGAAAUUAAAAAAAAGUCAAUGCAAAAGUAGUCAUUUCUAUAAUAUAUUUUAGAUGGAGGAUUUUUAGUUAUGGUUUGGAAAAAUAUAUAUGUAUUACAAAAUACAAACUUACAAACUGAUGUGAUUCUAUAUGAUUGUGUUGCAUAGGAUCAUGUGUUGUGACAAGGCAACAAAUCCAUCCCAUCUAUACUUUUCAUAAUAAAAUUUAGUGUAAAUUAUUAUUUUUAUAUUUAAAUCUUUUAUUACAGUUAUUAUUGUGGUGUAUAUUUGUAUUAGAACCCCUUUCAUUCUCUCCUGUGUGUGUGUUUAUUUCUCAAAAAAGAAAAAAGAAAAAAAAAGAAUGGGUAAUUGUCCCACAUUGCUUAAAAGAGUUUGUUUUGUGUAGUAUAACUUGUCCCACCCUCCCUUAAAAGUUACCACGGCUUUUUAGUAGAGUUGUGGUGUGCCUUUGUGUUAGAACUCAUUUCCCUCUCCCCUCUGUGUGUGUGUUUGUUUAUCAAAAAAGAAAAAAAAAAAAAAAGAAGGUAAUUGUCCCAUAUUGCUUAAGAGAGUGUGUUGUGUGUAGUAUAACUUGCUCCACCCUCCCUUAAAAGUUAUCAUGAUUUUUGAGUGGAGUUGUGGUGUAUCUUUGUGUUAAAACCCCUUUCCCUUUCCAUUUCCCCAGUGUGUGUGUUUAUUUCUCAAAAAAACAAAAGAAAAAAAAAAGUGUAAUUGUUCCGCAUUGUUUAAGAGAGUGUGUUGUAUGUAGUAUAACUUGCUUCACCAUUCCUUAAAAGUUACCAUGACUUUUGAGUAGGAAUGGCAGCAGGUCGGGUUUGGGCCCGGUUUUUUCAUACCCGGACUCAACCCGCGGGUCUAGACCUGCGACCCGGACCCGGCCCGAUUAUUAAACAGGUUUUUUUUUUCUUCCUCCUGGAGCUCAGACCUGCCCCGCCGGGCUCUGCGGGCCCGUUUAGCCCAACCAAAAAAAAAAAAAAAGAAUUGAACUCAACGGCGUACACAUACAAAAUAUGGUUGUGUUUGUGUUUAUGUAAUGAGAUUUUCAAAUAUACAUAUAAAAGCAUAACAGAAUAUUGAAAAAGUUUUUGGCAUUGUCUUUUUUUGUACUUUGUAUUUGAGAUAUACACAUAAAAUCCACCAUAUAUUGUUUGAAGAGAGGAUGAAUGCCACGAGACUUGAAGAAGAACUCAACGGCGUCGUUGUGUCCGCCAUUGUUGUGCCAUACAAUCUUAAAAAAAAAAAAAAAAAAAAAAAAGAGUUUUCCUUUCAAACACAGAUCCACAAACACAGAUUCACAGAAUCACAAACACACUUAGAUUUGAGAGAGGACAUGAACCCAAAAAAAAAAAAAAAAUAUUGGAGAACUCGGUCCACCAAGGAUCUAUCUCCAAUCUCGGACUCCUACUCGGCUUCUCUCUAUCUCAAAUCACCAAGAUCUCCGAUGAUCGGCGGUGGGCCUCUCUACCUGUCAUAGCCUAAACCGAUCUAACCUCCGUGCUUCUCCCUGGCAAAUAGCAACCACCACAUGAUGAGAGUGAAGGUGAGGGUGACUGCCAGACUAGGUGAGACCAUGUGGGGUGGCUUGAGAGAAAAUGAGACAGAGAGUUAUUGAGAGUAAGGUGAGAGCACUGAGAGAGGCGGCUGGAGCUAAGAGAUAUCAGAGAAAUGAGUUAGGGUUUGACAUAAGUGAUAUAUAUAUAGGUAGAUAUUUUAGUAAUUUUACUUAAGUUGUAAACGGGUCGGAUCGGGUUUUUACUAAAACCCGGACCCGACCCGUACCCACUUCAGGUUUUUUUUAAAAAAAAACCCAAACUCGAUCGUAUAUUUUAUCGGGUCGGAUAAAAUCUGACUCAUUAGGGUCGGGCCGAGCCGGGUAUCCAUGGAUCAGGUAGAAAUUGCCAUCCCUACUUUUGAGUGAAGUUGUGAUGUAUUUUUGUGUUAGAACCCUUUCCCUCUCCCUUGUGUGUGUGUGUGUAUGUUUGUUUCUCAAAAAAAAAAAGAAAAAAAAAAAGAAUGGGUAAUUGUUCCACAUUGCUUAAGAGAGCGUGUUGUGUGUAGUAUAACUUACCCCACCCUCCCUUAAAAGUUACCAUGACUUUUGAAUGGAGUUGUGGCGUAUUUUUGUGUUAGAACCUCUUUUCUUCUUUCUUGUGUGUGUGUGUGUGUUUGUUUCUCCAAAAAAAAAAAAAAAAAUUGGUAAUUGUUCCACAUUACUUAAAA